UACGUAGGUGGCAAGCGUUGUCCGGAUUUAUUGGGUUUAAAGGGUGCGUAGGCGGUUUAAUAAGUCAGUGGUGAAAUACGGCAGCUCAACUGUCGAGGUGCCAUUGAUACUGUUGGACUUGAGUACAGACGAGGUAGGCGGAAUUGACGGUGUAGCGGUGAAAUGCUUAGAUAUCGUCAAGAACACCGAUAGCGAAGGCAGCUUACUAGGCUGUAACUGACGCUGAGGCACGAAAGUGUGGGGAGCAAACAGG
rnacentral:rRNA from 1 species